UCUCCUGUAACGGAGUGGUAGAGCGUCCGACCGGUGUUCAGAAGGUCAUAGGUUCGACUCAUAGGUUCGACUCCUGUUGGGAGAA